GACUUCAAUGAGAAACAAACUUGGAGCAGUCUGCCGAGGAUGUUGCGACACUGGGUGUGUUGUGUCGCAGUACCAAGCUUGAAGUUGUAACUCCCAACCUUCAGGGUCGCGAUACCACUGCUGAUGGUUAAAGUGAAGGAGCCAAGGCCACUAUCGAGUGUGUCGCGACACUAGCUACUUAAUGUCGCAACAUUAAAAACCUCCAUAGCUAAGAUCAUGCCCACUAACACGAAU
rnacentral:lncRNA from 1 species